AUGCUUGAGGAAUUCUGCCAAAACUUCGAGGAGGAGACCAGUCGAGUGGAGACAGGCUUGGAUCCCAUUAAUUCUUCUGUGAAGGAUGAAACUGCCAUGAACGUGCUCCGACUGGAGUCUCGUGUUGCUAGUGUGGUUGACUACCUUGCUCGACUGAAGGUUGCGGCGUCGCGGAUCGACACGACACUCUGGCCGAGAGAGACGCUUCAAAAUGACCUCGAGUCUCUAAUGACUCGACUGAAUGAAGUUCCAGGUCGAGUGCAAGAAUGGAAGAAGUCUUCUGCCAGGUGUGGUGCUGAUGUUUCUAUGUCCCUGGUCCGUGUUCACUGCAAGGAUGCGCGAGAGGACAAGCUGGCGUCCCUCAAAGUGGCCAACACCAAGAAGCAUGACUUCCAAUCUUUCAUGGAGACCUUCAUUGCUGCUGCCACUCGGAUUGCUAAUGGAAUCGACCUGGACCAGUUUGUCGCGCCUUCCAGUCCUCCACCCGAGGAGUAA
rnacentral:rRNA from 1 species